AAGUCGAACGCGUCUCCGUUAAUGAUUUUAGGUGCUUGCACUUGAAAGAUUUAACAUUGAGACGAGUGGCGAACUGGUGAGUAACACGUGGGUAACCUGCCCUUGAAGUAGGGGAUAACACUUGGAAACAGGUGCUAAUACCGUAUAACAACCAAAACCACCUGGUUUUGGUUUAAAAGACGGCUUCGGCUGUCACUUUAGGAUGGACCCGCGGCGCAUUAGCUUGUUGGUAAGGUAACGGCUUACCAAGGCGAUGAUACGUAGCCGACCUGAGAGGGUAAUCGGCCACAUUGGGACUGAGACACGGCCCAAACUCCUACGGGAGGCAGCAGUAGGGAAUCUUCCACAAUGGACGAAAGUCUGAUGGAGCAACGCCGCGUGAGUGAUGAAGGGUUUCGGCUCGUAAAACUCUGUUGUUGGAGAAGAACAGGUGUCAGAGUAACUGUUGACAUCUUGACGGUAUCCAACCAGAAAGCCACGGCUAACUACGUACCAGCAGCCGCGGUAAUACGUAGGUGGCAAGCGUUGUCCGGAUUUAUUGGGCGUAAAGCGAGCGCAGGCGGUUUUUUAGGUCUGAUGUGAAAGCCUUCGGCUUAACCGGAGAAGUGCAUCGGAAACCGGGAGACUUGAGUGCAGAAGAGGACAGUGGAACUCCAUGUGUAGCGGUGAAAUGCGUGGAUAUAUGGAAGAACACCAGUGGCGAAGGCGGCUGUCUGGUCUGUAACUGACGCUGAGGCUCGAAAGCAUGGGUAGCGAACAGGAUUAGAUACCCUGGUAGUCCAUGCCGUAAACGAUGAGUGCUAAGUGUUGGAGGAUUUCCGCCCUUCAGUGCUGCAG
rnacentral:rRNA from 1 species